UACGUAGGGUGCAAGCGUUAUCCGGAAUUAUUGGGCGUAAAGAGCUCGUAGGCGGUUUGUCGCGUCUGCUGUGAAAACUCGGGGCUUAACCCCGGGCCUGCAGUGGGUACGGGCAGACUAGAGUGCGGUAGGGGAGACUGGAAUUCCUGGUGUAGCGGUGGAAUGCGCAGAUAUCAGGAGGAACACCGAUGGCGAAGGCAGAUCUCUGGGCCGUAACUGACGCUGAGGAGCGAAAGCAUGGGGAGCGAACAGG
rnacentral:rRNA from 1 species